UGAGGAAUCUUGCGCAAUGGGGGAAACCCUGACGCAGCAACGCCGCGUGAGUGAGGAAGGUCUUCGGGUCGUAAAGCUCUGUCAGGCGGGAGGAAAUGCAUGGAGGUGAACAGCCGCCAUGCUUGACGGUACCGCCAGAGGAAGCACCGGCUAACUCCGUGCCAGCAGCCGCGGUAAUACGGGGGGUGCAAGCGUUGUUCGGAAUCAUUGGGCGUAAAGAGCGUGUAGGCGGCUUGGUAAGUCAGAUGUGAAAGCCCUGGGCUCAACCCGGGAAGUGCAUUUGAAACUGCCAGGCUCGAGUAGGGGGGAGGGAAGUGGAAUUCCUGGUGUAGAGGUGAAAUUCGUAGAUAUCGGGAGGAACACCGGUGGCGAAGGCGACUUCCUGGCCCUAUACUGACGCUGAGACGCGAGAGCGUGGGUAGCAAACAG
rnacentral:rRNA from 1 species